GAUGAACGCUGGCGGCGUGCCUAAUACAUGCAAGUCGAGCGAACGGACGAGAAGCUGGCUUCUCUGGUUUUAUCGGCGGACGGGUGAUUAACACAGGGAUAACCUAACUAUAAGACUGGGAUAACUUCAGGAAACCGGAUCUAAGACCGAAUAAUAUUUUGAACCUCAUUGGUCACAAGUUAAAUAAGGUCUUUCGUUCACUUAUAGAUUGAUCCGCGCUGCAUUAGCUAGUUGGUAGGGUAACGGCUUAGCAAGGCAACGAUGCAUAGCCGACCUGAGAGGGUGAUCGGACACACUGGAACUGAGAAACGGCACAGACUCCUACGGGAGGCAGCAGCCGGGACUCUUACGCAAUGGGCGAAAGCGUGACGGAGCAAAGCCGCGUGAGUGCUGAAGCACCUAUGAUCGUAAAACUAUGUUAUUCGGGAAGAACAUAUGCGCAAGUACCUGUGAACAUCUUGACGGUACCUAAUCAGAAAGCCACGGCUAACUCCGUG
rnacentral:rRNA from 1 species